rnacentral:rRNA from 1 species
UACGUAGGGGGCAAGCGUUGUCCGGAAUCAUUGGGCGUAAAGAGCGUGUAGGCGGCCUGGUAAGUCCGCUGUGAAAGUCCAGGGCUCAACCCUGGAAUGCCGGUGGAAACUGUCAGGCUCGAGUCCGGAAGAGGCGAGUGGAAUUCCUGGUGUAGCGGUGAAAUGCGCAGAGAUCGGGAGGAACACCAAUGGCGAAAGCAGGUAACUGGACUAUUACUGACACUCAGCUGCGAAAGCUAGGGGAGCAAACAGG